GCGGUGAGCACAAAGCGAACUAUUCUUUCGCCUUUUACUAAAGAAUACCGUGUGCUUGCCGCAAGUUGUGGCAUACGAUAAUUUUUGGAGAGCCCUUUCCAAAGAUAAAAUUGCUGAAGAAACAUCACUGAGACAUGGGUUUAUAAUAUGCAUCAAUGAGGAUAUGCUGUCAUUGGUUCAUUUCUGUAGUGUCCACUCUAUCUGAUUAUAGGUUCAACUGUUAAUACAACAAGUUCCAUGUUUCAAUUCUCUUCGGUAGCAAUUGGUAGAUAUGCAAGCUUACUUAGAAGUCGAUUAGUCCUAGGUAAAGCCCACGAGGCACGCCACAUAAGAAGCUCACAACAAAAAGAAGAGGAAGAUAAACUAUUAUUAGUUCUAACUCACUCUCUCUCUCUCAUGUUUAAAGAUUAUCAUCAAACUCAAUAUCCUAAUUGCUAACUGAAGGACAGGAGUUUAAACUAGCGUCACACGCUGGUGUCCACCCAAUGCUCACUUUUUCCCUUCUAUUUCAGAUCAUGUGGAUCCAUAAAAGAUUGAAAGAACGUUUAAUAUGUCCCUACCUGACAAAGUUGGAGAAAUUUCGUCCCACAUCGACUCACAAACCCAACUAUGGUUCUUGAAAGUGGUUCAUAAGGGUGGGUGAUUCAACAAAGUGAAUUCACGCAGCCACUCGAUGAGCACAAAGCGAACUAUUCUUUCGCCUUUUACUAAAGAAUACCGUGUGCUCGUCGCAAAUAGUGGCAUACGCCUAUUUUUGGAGAGCCCUUUCCAAAUGUUUGGGCUCCUU